rnacentral:rRNA from 1 species
GACCUCAGAUCAGGCAAGGCUACCCGCUGUAUUUAAGCAUAUUAAUAAGCGGAGGAAAAGAAACUAACAGGAUCCCCUAGUAAUGGCGAAUGAGCGA